AUUGAACGCUGGCGGAAUGCUUUACACAUGCAAGUCGAACGGUAGAGGGGGCAACCCCUCGAGAGUGGCGAACGGGUGAGUAAUAUAUCGGAACGUGCCCAGUCGUGGGGGAUAACGUAGUGAAAGUUACGCUAAUACCGCAUACGAUAUAAGGAUGAAAGCGGGGGAUCGCAAGACCUCGCGCGAUUGGAGCGGCCGAUAUCAGAUUAGGUAGUUGGUGGGGUAAAGGCUCACCAAGCCAACGAUCUGUAGCUGGUCUGAGGGGACGACCAGCCACACUGGAACUGAGACACGGUCCAGACUCCUACGGGAGGCAGCAGUGGGGAAUUUUGGACAAUGGACGCAAGUCUGAUCCAGCCAUUCCGCGUGCAGGAUGAAGGCCCUCGGGUUGUAAACUGCUUUUGUACGGAACGAAAAGGUCUCUCUUAAUACGGGGGACUCAUGACGGUACCGUAAGAAUAAGCACCGGCUAACUACGUGCCAGCAGCCGCAGUAA
rnacentral:rRNA from 1 species